GACGAACGCUGGCGGCGUGCUUAACACAUGCAAGUCGAACGAUGAAGCUGGAGCUUGCUCUAGCGGAUUAGUGGCGAACGGGUGAGUAACACGUGAGCAAUCUGCCCUUGACUCUGGGAUAACUGCGGGAAACUGUAGCUAAUACCGGAUACUUUCACCGGGGGGCAUCCUCUGGUGAUGAAAGAAUUUCGGUCAAGGAUGAGCUCGCGGCCUAUCAGCUUGUUGGUGAGGUAACGGCUCACCAAGGCGACGACGGGUAACCGGCCUGAGAGGGUGACCGGUCACAGUGGGACUGAGACACGGACCAGACUCCUACGGGAGGCAGCAGUGGGGAAUAUUGCACAAUGGGCGCAAGCCUGAUGCAGCAACGCCGCGUGAGGGAUGAAGGCCUUCGGGUUGUAAACCUCUUUUAGCAGGGAAGAAGCGAAAGUGACGGUACCUGCAGAAAAAGCACCGGCCAACUACGUGCCAGCAGCCGCCGCCG
rnacentral:rRNA from 1 species